CACAGUGCAUGCUGAACAAGAGGCAAUUUCUAUGGAUCCUAAAGAGGUAAUAAAUUCAGAAGUACACACACUAACAAACACCACCUCCAAAUUGCAAAAUAUUUUAACCCUUCACCUUCUCACUUCCUAUAGAAUAGCAUCAUACCAGGCCCUUGCCCUUCUCUUUCCUCUGCACUUAAUGGGAGAAUAGCUUUCUCUACUCUAGCGAAAACUCGAAGAACAGCACAAUGAUGAGCAAUUUCGAAUAAGAGGAGUUAGAGAAGAGAGAGAAAAAAUUAUUUGCAUUGCACUCGAGGAUUCAGCUUUGAUUUCUUUUUAUUUUUGUGUUUAGCUAAGGUGAAAUCACCUUCCAUAAGGGUCCACUCAUCAUUUUCCCUAACCUCUUAUAUCAUCUAAUUAUUACUUAAAUUGGUCAUCAAGUUCCUUUUAUGUUAAACUGCAGUGAGUUUGAGGAACUGGAAGCUGUUCCAACUAUGGCAGUUAUGGAUGGUCCUCUAGAGUCAACUCCCUCAAAUGCUGCUGAUGUUCCUGAAGAUCCUGCUUUUGUGAACUUCUUCAGUGUAUGUUUCUUUGAAAUAAUAUGUUUCUACAUAAGUAUGCAACAUUACCACAAAAAUGCAGCAAGUCAUAUACUAUUUUCAUAUGUUGGUUACAAGCAUGUUUAUGGGAGGAACCUGGAUGUGAUGCUAUCUUUACACAUACAUAAAUUACAACUGCCAUUUAUCAAUUUUUAAUUUUUCUAUUGUAAAAUUGUUAUUAACAUUAUUUAUUUGGCUUCCAAAUGCAGGAUUCUGAAUGCAUAUUCCAAGGUGCCUCAAAAGUCGAAAGUUGCCACAUCUAAAAGGUAAUGGUAGCUCAAUUUAUAUUUCACAAGUUGUAUAUUAUUUUUAGCCCCCAAGAAGUAUUAUGCUCUUUAUCAUAUAUUUUAUUUGCACAAAUUUUUUAUUCGAGCCUCUCAUCUGUUCAAGUACCUAAAUAAGUCUUGCACUAGUUAAUUAAUAAAAUGAGAUAUAAUAAUAAUAUAGCCUGUAGAUUUUUCUCUAUCCCAAUAAUAAUGUAGUCUUUAUAUGAUAGUUCUGUAGACGUGGGCAAUGAAGAAAGGUUAGAAAAGUUGCCUUAUGGUGGUUGGAAGGGGGGAAAAAUCUGGCUGCUAGGUCGAUUUGCAUAUUGUCAUCCAUUGGAGAACUUAAGUUGAGUAGGCGAUAUUUAUUGACAACUCAUUGAUGUUUUUUUUUUUGGGGCCCCCCCGGGGGGAGGGGGGGAUAAGAUGUUGACAACCCAUAGAUUGCUAUUUUAGCUUUAAAAAAGAUCAAAUAGAUGAUGCUGGACAGUUCCAAGUCAAAAAAGGAAAAAGGGAAAAGAAAUUUCAAUGGAGGUUCAAAGCAAUAGAUAUUUUCUUGGCAGGAGAUCUAGUAAGUCACCUAUCUGGAAAAAUGCCCCAAGUCUCCUUCUUCCUUCAAGAUUGUAAGGUUCGGUUGCAGCUCCUGGUUUCUGACUCGAGUUUUCCUAAUUGGGUUGGAAGGUAUCUGGAUUAAUCCUCCUAACAUAUCUCCUGAUGCAACAUAGUUGUAAAACAGUUGUAUUCUCUUCCAUUUAGAAUGGCUGUAUCAUACUCUUAUUGGUGCCUAGUAUUGUUGAGUUCAUAAGAGUGAUUUUUACUAUUGUAUAUUGUUAGCAGUUGCUAGCAGUUGAGGCAAACUAAUUCUUGUUACAAGCAUGUUUAUGGGAGGACCCUGGAUGUGAUGCUAUCUUUACACAUAUAUAAAUUACAACUGCCAUUUAUCAAUUUUUAAUUUUUCUAUUGUAAAAUUGUUAUUAACAUUAUUUAUUUGGCUUCCAAAUGCAGGAUUCUGUGGAAAUGGAGGUUUCUUUAACUCAAAAGGUCGUGGUUUUACAGCAGCAGGAGGACAAAAUUUGGCUGAUUCAAGUGGUCAAAAAAUCAACUACAAUGGUGGAAAAAGUUGGAAUAAUAAUGCAAGUCAGUCAUGGCAAAAAUCAAACAAUAAUCCAAGUCAACAAGGGCAACAAUCAUGGCUGCUGUACCGUACAUCCGCCUUGGCCACUCUUUCCUUGCACUUGAAAGAGUGUUUUGUUUGGGGAUUUGUGUUUGGUUGCUGGUAGUCCUGUUUGAAUAUCCAAGUAAAUAGACAAUAGAUACCAUGCAAGCUCGCCUUACUCGUAGGCACAGUGCAUGCUGAACAAGAGGCAAUUUCUAUGGAUCCUAAAGAGGUAAUAAAUUCAGAAGUACACACACACUAACAAACACCACCUCCAAAUUGCAAAAUAUUUUAACCCUUCACCUUCUCACUUCCUAUAGAAUAGCAUCAUACCAGGCCCUUGCCCUUCUCUUUCCUCUGCACUUAACGGGAGAAUAGCUUUCUCUACUCUAGCGAAAUCUCGAAGAACAGCACAAUGAUGAGCAAUUUCGAAUAAGAGGAGUUAGAGAAGAGAGAGAAAAUAUUCUUUGCAUUGCACUCGAGGAUUCAGCUUUGAUUUCUUUUUAUUUUUGUGUUUAGCUAAGGUGAAAUCACCUUCCAU
rnacentral:lncRNA from 1 species